AAAGAAAGAAAGAAAGAAAGAAAGAAAGAAAGAAAGAAAGAAAGAAAGAAAGAAAGAAAGAAAGAAAGAAAGAAAGAAAGAAAGAAAGAUAUUUCAGGAAAAUAUUAGUGAUUCUAAACUGAGGAAUAUGGAUUUCUGGGCUGAUUUGUUCCAUGCUAUAUUGUUUAAUCACCUGUGCUGAGCAAAAAUCAUGCGUUAAACUUUGCUACCUUGCUACCAGCUGUUUAACUGAUGGUCUACUUCCUUUCGAAGAGAAAAGCAGCAAAGAGAAGCCCAUUCAAUCUAUCUAAAUUAUCUUUCAGUCUAUCUGAAUUGUCUUUCAAGGCACUUGAUAAUAACUUGAAGAAAUAGUUUGCAUCUUCCUGCUAUUUGAGAUAUACUAGGUUUAUUUAUAAACAAUCAAAAUACAGUAAUUGGGAUAUACCUAAAGUUAUGUACUGUUAUACAGUGCCAUAAUAUGGAAGCGUCCUUUUUUUAACAUGAGAUAUAAAUAGGCAUUUCAUUUCUUCUUUCCUUUAUUCUCAUACAUAUGGAAAAACUUUUUCAUCACAAUAUAUAAGUCUUCCAUAGAUUUCUUCUUCUACUGAAAGUUUCAGUUCUAACACAAUAAUUUCUUAUAAAUUCAUCACAGCGCUGAAUGCCCCUUCUCCCUUAAAGAAGGAUUGCAAAAGAACAAUAUAAAAGAAUAAUAUUAGCUCUAAGUAUGAUUUAUUGGUGAGAAGAAAGAGUACAUUUCUGCUGGUUUGUGUUUUGCUACCUACAUUUCUUUUCAGGAAGGAUUUAAAAAUAAGCAUUAUGCAUGGUGAAAUUUUAAGUUUUACCAAACAUACAUUAUACUAAGUAAACAAGCCUCUAAUUCCUGAAAAUAUACAUACACUCAACUGAGUACAGUUGUUCUCUUGCAAGAAGCAAUUUCAAAACAUGUACAAGAAGCUUCUAAUUAAGAAAGAUACUAAAAAUAAUAUUAAAAAACCAACAAAAAUCAAACCCAAACAUCUCUACUUGUAUUAAUUCUCGUAUAUCCUUACCAGUCACUAGCAACAGCAUCAUUUUAUUAGCUGGCAAAAACUUCUGAGACAACUUCUCCUGUUAGAAGAAAAUAAAUGUCUUCUCUCUCACUUCAUUAUCACUGCACUGAUAAAUAACUGAAAGUCUAGACUAUUAUUCUGGAUACAAAAAUAUUAAAAACUUCAAAGUGUAAGUAUAUAGAACAGACAGAUUAUACCAUUGGGUAUCAGUAAAUGAGAUAUAAAGAAGAAUAUAAACUAGAAUCACCCUCCACAGAAUACAUUUAAACUGCAAACAUCUACUGAUUUAAGAUUGCUCUAUAUAUAUCAAGGAAAAUAAAUUUUACUUAAAUAUUAAUUACUGAAAAAAGAACUGUUUAAUAUGUAGGAUAAUAAACCAUUUGUUUAUCAAAAUCUUCACGUGUAUACACUACAGACAAACUCUUUCUAGAAAAAUAAUAGGUAAAUUAACCCAUGAAAAAUAUACCUGAUAAAAAGAAGAAAGAAGAAGCCAAUUAUUUUCCAAUGACUUAUCAUAUAAUAUGCACUGAGCUUACAUUAUGUUUCAAACUAUAAGUAUUCUUUGAAAAGGAAAUAUUUACAGUUGCUAAGCAACAUUACCUGUUUAUCACAUUGUUUUUGAAUUGAAAGCAUUGGAAGUGGAAAACAGAACAAAGGUACAUACAAGAGUACAAUUUAUUUCUCAAUUUACAUAGUAAAAUAACUUGUGCUUAUGAAACAUAAAUUAAUAAAUAUUCUUGACAAGUUAAUCUAUGGUUCAGUGGAAUUUUUCUUUUUGCAAUACUGUUGUUAUUUUGACUUUGCUUUCUAAACAUAUGUCUGUAAAUGAUAUAGUAAAAAAUAAGAAACUAUGGAGCAGACUUAGUAAAGCACAGAAUCUGUGAACAAUGUUUAAAAUAAAAUAACAUAAUAUAUCUGAAUUUGGCAUGACCAGAAGUUUGAAGGAGGUGGUUCUCCCCUUCUACUCCACCCUUGUGAGAACACAACCAGAGUUCUGCAUUCAGCUCCGGGGUCCCUCCAACAUAAGAAGAACAUGGAUCUCUUGGAGCGAGUCCAGAGGGGGCCACGAGGAUGCUCAGAGGGCUGAAUAGUUCUCUCUAUUAUGAAGAGAGAAUGAAAGCUGAAGUCGUUCAAUCUGGAGAAGUCUCCAGGGAGACCUGAUUGCAGCCUUCCAGUAUUUAAAUGAGGGCUACAAUAAAGCUGAAGAGGACUUUUUACAGGAUCAUGUAGUGAUAGAACAAGCAGUAACAGCUUUAAGCUAAAAGAGGGCAGAUUUAGAUAUGAUAUUAGGAGGAAAUUUUUUACUCAGAGGGUGGUGAGGCAUUGGAACAGAUUACCCAUAGAAGCUGUGGAUGCCCCAUCCCCAGAAGCAUUCAAGACCAGGUUGGAUGAGGCCCUGGGCAGCCUGAGCUGGUGGGUGGAAACUCUGCACACGGCAGAGAGUUGGAAACAGAUGAUCUAUAAGAUCCCUUCCAGCCCAAGCUGUUAUAUGAUUUUAUGAAUUUGAACACAGAGAGAUAGAACCAUACAAUAUUCAUUUAUAGUAAAAAUAUAGACAAGAUUAACCAAAUUAGCUUACUUCAUUUCUCUUUAAAAUGUUUGUUGACUUCUUGUAACAAAUGAAACACUGAAAAAUUCUUCAAUGGCUCAAAAGCACUCCUGUUACAAAAAAAAAAAAAAAAAAAAAAAAAAAAAAGCACAAAAAAAACCCAAGUUGGUGACAGUGUAUCAAGAAAACUACUUUUCUCUCAGCAGUAGGGCAGCAUAAUCUCAUCAGAAGUGUAGCUGCAUUCCCAAACAUGUCUAUGCAAUUGAUGAAGCUAAGCUGUUUUCUUUCUGAAACACUAUUCUUCUUGUGCCAAAUUCUUUGUAGCGGGUGAGAAGAGAAGUGGACCUACACACUCUAUGCAAAGGAGCAUUCCAUUCCCACAGCAACCCUCUGCUGGAGAGAUACCUUGAGAAACCAGUCUUUUUCAAUGGCAGAAAAAUCAACAGAAGCAGCAUGUCCUAUUAUUAACUACAGUUUUCCUGUUUAUGUCAUCACUUUAUUUCUUAAAAGACAUGUUUCUCUUUCAUAGCUUUAAUGAGGUCAAGACUUUUUGUCUUCUGGGAAACAAAACUCAUCAUCAGACAGGAAUGGUCACACCGACCACCUUCCAAAGAACCUGACCACAGUCACGAGGUUGGUAUUUUGUACAGCUCAUUGGACGCAUUGCUUCACGCUGGUAAGACGCUGACAUUGGUAAGUCCCUCAGCAUCAGUGUUUGAUCUACAGCACAGUGCCAAAAUUUUGGCUUGCCUGAGCAGCACCAAGUUAAGAGGCAUUGUCUUGGACGGUAUAUAAAAUAUUUAAUUGGGUUAAUGUGUAUAAGUAAAAAAAAACUAUUUUUUUCUAAUAUAUAUAUAUUUACUUAAAACAUUUAAAAAUAGGGUGAAAAGUAAACCAGUUGGGUUGGACACAUAUACAAGGUAUGAGUUAUGAUGUACAUGACAGAUGAGGAACGCAAGAUUUAUUCUCACAGAUAUGGGGAUAUUUGAUCUUGUUUUUGUGACACUAAUGUAUCAAUCUGGUUCAAUGGAAGUUGUUGCAAUUCUUAGUGAGUUUUCAAGCUCCUCAUCAGAGACUUUUGAUCUAAUGUAACUCUUCAUGUGCUUCAUUCUUGGAAAGUUGUUCACAAAUGUAUAUACUGCUAAAAUGCGAUGGCAUGAAGAAGGUGUGAUUGUGAAGGAAGGGAUAUUUUUCUCUGGUAAGAAAGGUCUUACAAAAGCCUGGUAAAGAGACAUGAUCAGAUUUUUUUCUUUGAGCUGAAUAUCUGGUUGCACCUCUAUACACUGCAUUUGAAAAUUCACAGGUAAUGCACUUAUUUCAACUGAAAAUUGAGUCACAUGUAUAUCUAAAUAACUGAUGAUGUUUUCAACAAUCUUGAAACCUAUUCUCAUUUUUUUUUUAUCAAAAAAGAAAGGAUGGCUGUGCAUUUUUUGCUGUUGACUGGACUAUGUUUAGCCAAUGUAUCAAAAUAUUGGAAAUUAUAAAAUUUGUCAGCACUGUGCAAGAAUUCUGAAUAUUUCUUCUGCACUGAACUUAACUUAUUAUUUUACAAAAUAACACAAGUCCAAAUUUAAUAAUUAAAUAAGAAGACUUACAUGUCUACUUAACAGCAAAAAAUGUGUGUCUUCAAAGUCAUACACAUGGAGGUGUGUUUAAGUAUUAUUGACAAUCACCACAUUUUAGUGCAUUGUACUUGUCAAGAGACACAAGUGCAAAUGAUGUGUAACACAGGUAGGUUUUGAUUUGAUUUCGUGCAGUGAGUGUGAGAGGCAAACUUAGCACUGCACUGUGACCUUCCUUCCACAAUGUUCCCUUGUCACAUACACAGUCCAUUCUUCAGCUAUACACAGUCAACUCAAGAAAAAUAUCACUAAAAAACACAUGAUAAUAUUAAAAUAUUGAGAUCUUCUGGGGCCACAUGCAGCCCAUGGGCUGCAGGUUGAACACAACUGAUCUCAAGUACUUGACCUUUCAUUUCUAACUGAAAUUGUAUAUGUCAUAGAUCCACAGCAAAUGCUUUUGGUGCAUUUGUUCUGUAUGGCAGCAAAAUGAACAAAAACAUUCUUAAUCAGACAACUGACCUUUCAAGUUUAUGAUUUUUCAAGUACUAAUGAGUUAUUUUAUCAGUUAACUUUAAUACUACCAACAUAAAAAAAUAACUUAUCUGACUUUUAUAUAUACAUGUAUUGUUAGUUUUUUAGUAUGCCUAAGGAUUUAUCUUUGAAUAUUUUUGAAGGAAGAAAAUGGUUCACAUGCUUUUGGCUUCCAUUUUAAAGCCAUGACAGGGGUAUGGGAGCACAGCUCAGCCAACCCAGCUAAUAUUUUGGCAGACAAGCAGAGAUUAUAAGAAGAAAAUAUACCAUAUGCUCAAAGUAAAAGCAGAUACAAUUUUGAAAUUUCCCUUACAGGGGGAAAAUACUUUUGUAGUUUAACUUUUACUCUCCUUACUAACAAGAGGGGGAAAGGAAGAGAGAGAGGUGACAGUUUAACAGUGAUAUUGAAACUGCAGAAGAGAUAAGGAUAAUUUUCUAUUAAUAUCCUCUGGGUAACAUUCUCAAAACAUGCAAGAACUGUAACACUGUUCUUCUGAAACACAGUACUUCUCUGUGAAGGUCCAAGUACAUUUAGAGAAGUUGAAGACCUCUCACAACUUUCAUUGGCAUUCAGUAGACAUCCUUACAGCUUCAAAGGCACCACUUAGUGCUUUCAGGAACACAUUAAAGGUUCCUUGUUUUAGUAAUAAUAUUAAAAAUCACUUCUAAAAGGAAGGCAAAAUAUAUACAUAUAUUCACCUGAAUCCUUAAAAGAAGAGUCAGAUAAAGCCAUAAAGUAUGUUUGUCUCACAGAAUGGUUGAACUGGAGAUUACUUAUUUUGAUCUAUUAUUUAAUUCAAACCUGGGGGCUCACCACUCAUCACUGAUCUCCAUCCACUCAUCCACUGACCACCACUCUCUGGACUCAAUCCUGCAGCCUGUUCUUCAUCCAUUGAACAUCAAAUCUGUAUCUUUCCAAUUUGGAGAGAAAGACGUUGUGGAGUACUGUGUCAAAGCCUUAUGGCAGAUAGAUGACAUCAGCAGCUCUUCCCUUGUCCACUCAUGCAGUUACACCAUCAUAGUAGACCACUAUGUUGGCCAAGCAGGAUUUGCACUUGGUGCAGCCAUGAUUUUCUCUUGGUGAAGCCAUCUUCUUUUCUAUUGGUUUUUAUAACUGUGUUUUUGACUUGCUUACUUUCUAUGCUUUUUUUUUUUUUUUAAUUCUGUACUAUAAAAACAAUAUAUACAUAAAUCUCAUCUCACACCUUUUUUAAAAGGCAUGACUACUAAACUAUAUUACCCUCUCUGCACAAAUUCUCAUUGAUUCCUGAGCAUUCUAAGUUUUUCCUGGGUUUGUGUAACUGCACCAUAUUUUAAAAGUAAUAGCAACACUGGCAAAUGUUUUUUAAAAAGAUGGAAAAUAUUUCAUUGAGGAUAAAUGUUUAAUCUCAUUCUUACUAUUAAAAAGUCUUCCCAAAUUCUCCAAAAAGAACACAAAAGAGUGGAAUUCAAAAUAAGCAACUCUCUUCACCUGAAGUUUCAAGCUAUUAUGAGUGGCAUAUUGUGAUCUGAGUAAAUUCAGACUUACAAAGAAAUCUCUUUUUGUGAUUUUGAAGGUACUUUUUAAUCUGAAGGAGGAAAAGACUAUAUAAAAGAAUUCAAAAAAGUCUGCAUACUAUCUGUUUCCUUAGACGGACAUCUAAGACUGAGCUGACUCAAAUGUCAUGUUUACUGAUUUUUCAAAAUACAUAAACUACGCAUUAAUUAAGUUUCUGUUUAAUUUGGAAUCUUGAAGAAAUAGGUAUGGAAUAUAGUAUGUACUCAGGCCUUUAAGAGGAAAGUAUAUGGCAACCAGAUCAGAUACUGUAAACCAGAGACAUAUUGCAACAGCUUGCCUACUCUUGUGCAUUACUUCUCAAAGAUCAAAUGAGAUAUGCAAGCAUUAAAGUGCAUAUUGAAACUUGCUAGCCUACAAUAGCAUGGAUGAGGACAAAAGAGAUUCCAGAACAGUAGGUGUUAUCAUUCUGGUAUAUCAAAGAUUAUAUCAUUGUCUUACUAGCUGGAGUUUUAGCAGUAGAGCAUGAAGUCUUAUGUUUCUGUAUAUUUCUGAUUUUGUAUUCAAGAAAAUUCACCUCCCAUCUUAAAAAGUGCUACCCACAAUAGGAACAGGUGUUAUAUACGUAAUUAAGACUAUAAGGAACAAGAACACAUCCCCUCACUGUUAGUAACAGCUGAAAUGAUAUCACAAACCAAGUUUUAAUUAUAUUGUGGCUUGCAAAUGGAUAUGAGGAGAUUAAACCUUUUGAAAAUGUUCCAUAGAUAAAUUUGUGUCUCUUUUUGAAUAUGGAGUGGUGUAUGAAAAACUCUCUUAUCCUUUUAGUACAUGAGAGCUGCAGUUUUAGACACUUAAAGCCACAGAUACCAAGUAAAUCAUAUUUAUAUUAAAGAAUUUUAUACUAUAAUAAAUAUUCACGUUCAAGAAAGUAAAGAGACUGGAAGUAUGGAAGACUAUGGAAAUUGUAGAUUCUUCAGUAGCGUUAAUCAGUUAAAUUUUUUCACAGUGUUAACAAUUUUCACAAAUUAACUUCAAUGUCUUGUAAUAAACACUAUUGAGUGCAUUGGUUUGAACUUAGAGAGCAGAAAGUAAUGUCAUUUUUAUCUUCAGUUUUCAAGUAUAAACAGUUUUAUGUGCAGUUUGAAGGCAAAGAUUUUUAUGUAAGAUUUUGAGAAAAUAGAAGAGAUGGUUGGGAGAGUAAGGGAAAGGAUCUUAAAAUAAAGGAGACUUAAUGAUCAGUGGAAUAUUUUGAAGGGGAUCUUUGCAGGCUGAUAAAAGAAAAUGAAUGUAACAUUUCAGAGGAGUAUUCAAAAAGAUUCAAUGGUGUUUUAUCCAGCACUUGUCAAAACUAAAUCAAUUCUAUAUGAAGCAAUAAUAACAACAUUAUCACUGUUCUUCAAGACAUGCAACUCACUUCAGUUAUAAUUUUAGCUAUUGAAAUUGCCUAAUUAUAUGUGAAAAUAAUCUCAACUUUUUUCGUUGUUGAACUGGUUAAAGCAAACAAGCAAGUGGACCUUGGUGUCCUAUAUGUGGAUAUUUUUCCUUUUCCCAAAGACGUUUGAAGUUAUCUCAAAGAUAUACUUCAGUAUCAAGUACCUGCACAUAAAGACCUGCGUGCCAGCUUACGAUUUCCUGCCUUAAACUGAAAGCCUGUGAAAAGAAUGGUGAGGUUAGAUUCCUUUUCAUCACAAACAUCACUUCUUAGAAAGAUAUCUUACUAUUAAACUCCUAGACUCAUUUUAUCCAUUAUAUGUAGUCAUAUGAGCAAUGGUUUCUAUUGAUACACUGUGCAUUUUUAACCUGCAUCUUUUUUUGUUGCCCAGCACAAUCUAUACCUCAUUACCAGAAUGAAUAUAACAAAAACCAAACUUUUCAACUUUAUUUUUUUGUUGUUGGCAACACUUAACAUUUGCAUACAUGGAAUAUGAGCACAAGGGAUAAAAGGCAAUUAUAUACUAAUACUUUGCAAAGUGCAAAGACUUACCUUUACCAUUAUUGUGCACUGCAUUUCAAAUGGCACAUUUCAGGCGAUUUAUGUUAAUUUCCAUCAUUUAUAGAACAUAAUGAUACAAAUCAGUUAGAAUUCAGCACAACAGCCUCUACGUGUUCAGAACUAUGGAGAACACUUUAAUGGUCUCAUUAACUGUAAGCUGAGAAAUUGAAUUUCCAUUUCUAGACAAAACUGUUAUCACUAUAUUCAUGAUCUACAAUACUUAUCCUGUUUCAUGUUAUAUCAGCCACUGUCCAGCCUUGUUUCUUUCACUCAGUGACCUUACUGAGGCCACACAAAGCAAUAAAGAAAGAUCAAUUAUACUGUUCUUACCUGAAGUGGCCUUAUUGUCUGCCUUCUGGCUGGUAUAAGCUUGACAAAGAACGAUAUCCAACUUCACUUUAUAUGCGUAGGAGCCUUAAACAUAUACAGAGUUCAUAGUUUAAGCCUUUGAUAUAUUGAAAGGAGAUGGCAGUAACACACUGAAUGUUUGCCUUUCAAUUUGACAUUACAGUGAGAAGGAUAAUAAACAGUGUGUUCAUAAGAAUAAGUAUAGCUAAAGCAAGCAGAAAGCCAUCAUUUCUAAAGUACAUGAAUGCUGGGAGGUAUUAGGAGAAAAAGGUCAACUGACUGUCCAAAGCCCAUCAGAAAGGCUACUUACAUCAAACAGUACAGCUAAGAUAUGUUCUGGAUCAACAGCAAAAAGAGUUUUUCUUUUUUAUCCUCUGCCUCUGCUUCAAAAUUUUUUAUUAGUAGUUUUGACUAUAAAAUUGUAAGGGAGAGUGAUGAGGUGAAUGGUCUCAAAUUUCUUCCAGGUUAUACUACAGCAUAUUAGUCUCAUCUAGUUACACUGACAGUGUCCUGUUCGGUUGCUGAUCCAUAACUACAGAUCUAUCUCAGUUACGGAAAUCUCUAAACUUCUAUUUGCUAAGGGAAAUAAUUUACAUAACAGCUGUACUAUUUAUACUCAGUAGCCACAAAACUAUUUUUCAAAGCACUGUCUUCUGAGUAGUUAAUAUCCUAGGACUACAGGAAUUCCCAUGGUGGAUGCUAUAAAUUUACAAUAACUUAACCUACAUUAAUCACUGAUGCAUAAUCAUUAUUGAUAUAUUAAUAAAAAAUAUAGAUAUCUCAGUACACUCCUGAAGCAGAAGCAUAGUAGUUACCCAACAGGAUCACAUCAAUAUUUUUUUUCUGACAGAUUGUAUUGUAUUGUUCAUCACUGGUGUAAAGGUGCAUGCUAAGCAAACAAAAACUCUUCCAAGUUCUUAAGCAAGCAGGUUCUUAACUGAUAUCUUUCUAUAAUCAACUCAAACAGGAUAAAAAUAAUACAUUUUUGCCAAUGUCAAGUAUCACUGCAUUGUUGAAACUAAAGAUAGUGCUAUGUAACAGGACUAAAAUAUCCUCCUGUGAUUCUAUAGCAGAUCAUUUUCCCUAAGCAAGAAUCAGUAAGCUGCCAAAGGAACAGUGCCACAAGAGCUUAAAAUAUUCACUUGAUCUCUUGCAGAUGGAACAACUUGACUCCAUGUGACCUGAAGCAGUAGCCAAUAGGAGGCUGAUUUUAUAUAACAGAGCAAGAAGAAUCAGCCUCCACUGCAUUAGAUUAAUCAGCAAAGGUUUGAAGUUUUCUGCCUAGUUCUGAAACUUCUGAUCUAGGAAAUGGUAUGGGACAUGUACAAUACCACAGACUGGGACUCUGGGAGAAGGUCCCUCUACUAUAAACUUCAGGGGAAAAAAAUAAAGGCAGAAAGAAAGGAUUCGGAGGAGGUGUAACAACUGAAAUGAAAAGAGUGCAAUAGAAAGUGUUCCUGCUUAAAAUGAUUUCCCUACUAGCUCUAAAGGAAAAAUUCUAAAAUGGCCUCUGCCUUGCAGAAAUAAUGUAAUAAAACUGUUGAAAACAAACCUAAACAAAUGUUAACUUUUAGGUAAGAAAGGCCACACCAUCUGUUAUUAUGUACAAACUACAGAACUACUACAGCACUAUUAGAUUGUAAAUAAUGCACUGAUACAGAACGUAAGGCAGUCUUCAGAUUAUUAGGUUAGGAGUCCUAUAGAAAGUCUUUGUAAGUAGAAGAAAAAAUAAUUUACAACUUAAAACACAAUCUGAAAGUAAUUUUAUUGAAAUUUGAACAAGAACAAGGCAGGACUGUUCUAUAGAUAGGAUCUGUUAUAGAAUUUUAAGGCAUGAGCAGAACUGGAAUGAAAUAUUUAGUUAUGAUAUAAAGACAUGUACAGACAUCAAAACUGUGAAGUGGAUAGCUUCAGUCUUCAGUGCACCAGUCAGUGCCCCUUGAGAUGUUCACAGUGAGUCAGACAUAAAUGAUGGAUGUAGUAAAUUAUUGUCCCUUGAACCACUCUGUCACAGAUUCUCCUGGAAACAGUUCACCUUUGAACAUUGUUUAUGCAGCGGAAUGAGGAGGAGAUUAAUAGUAAUUGAUGAAGCAGGCUUACAGGAUUAAAAUAUGAUUAAAUAUGAAUAAAUCUGACAAUCUAAAAGUCAAAAAUAAAUCACGUACCCACUAAACAAAUAUAUAAUUUGAUAAAUACUGAAUUAAUAAUCAGUACAUUUUCUUUCACCAGAACUUAAACAAUAAUAAAAAUUGUAGAGCAGUAGAAAUCCUGUGUUUCUAGACAAAAAACUUUCUGAUCCUGAGUGUAUCUAGUAACAGAAAACAUCAUUACUGUGGUACGUUACUCAUUUUUGUACAUUUGAGUGUGUACAUAAGAAAGCUUACUAAGACAGCAAAUAUGGCAAAGCUAAGAACUGUGCCCUUAGGUAACACAGGGAAAAGCUGCCAUAAGUGUUUUGCUCUGUGUGCGUGUGCACAUGUUAUGUACUUAAAUUACGUGAUAUAUUCACUUUGAUCUAAUACUGCAUAAAGUAUUUUUCAAAGAGAUUUAACCCUCCUUGUGUAAUAUGAAUAUAAUCACAGACAGCAGUAGGCAUACCUUCUACUGCAAGAUGACCAUACUCUUUUUCCAAGGAUAUGGCUGUACAUUGUUAUGCAGCAACUGAGUGAAGAGUAGCUCACAUUCAAAGUUUGCAAUUUUUCACAAAAUACAUCUGUUAAUAGAAAACUUGUCCUUUUUUAACUCUCAGAGGACAUGGACCUGCACUUUGAUAAUGAUGGAAUUAUGAUGAAGGAUGGAAAUCAUAAAAAAAACCAAAAACCUUAGCGUGUUGAUGUAUUCCUGAACUUAUGAACAUUCACCUGGUGUUUAGCACAUUGUUUUUGAAUCAAUUUUGUACAAGUCACUUCCAAGUGUGACUGGCCCUGCUGCCAUUAGCUGCAUUUUGAGAAGUUAAAAUAUUUGUGUCCAUUGAGAUUUCACUGCUGAGCAUAACAUUAUAUGAUAUGGGAUAUCCCUUUAGUCAGUCUGGAUCAGCUGUCUUGGCUGUGUCCUCUCCCAGCUUCUUGUGUUCCCCAAGUCUCCUUGCUGGCAGGGCUGUGUGAGAAGUGAAAAAAACCUUGGGUCUGUGCAGGCACUGUUCUGCAACAGCUACAAACUUUGAUUUCUUAACACAGUUAUUUUCACCAAAAAUACAAAACACAGCAUCAGACAAGCCUCUACGAAUAAACUUAACUCUAUCCCAGCCAAAACCAUAACAAUAUAGCUUAUUUGCAUUCAGCAUUUUUAAAAAAUAGUUUACUUUUACACUGGACAAUUUCCAUAUUUAUGAUUUAUUAUGCUCAAUAGCAUGUAUAAUUCCCAUUUCUUCUGAAAGUUUCAACUCUUAUCUUGUGCCUUCAGUGUGUUUACUGAAUUUUGAAUGCAUUUUAUAUAUAGAUGUAGAUAUCAUGUCAAGAUUACCGAGUCCAUUUUUUAAGAUCGCUUCCUAAAGAAAUUUUUUUUUGCAUAAAAUAUUGUAACAAUAAAGAUUCUUCACUUUUAUCUUCUUUAAAUAUAAAAAUAUAUUAAAAAUACAAACUGAUCUAAAACAUUAAAAAUAGUUUGAAGGCUCUUUUUACAACUUUCUAGAUAACGAUACUUUUCUAUCAACUUCAUUAAAAUACAGAGAUUGUUUUCUUAUCAUUAGCAUAGGUUGUAUCGUUAUUCUGAAACAAGUAAGGUUAAUUCAUGGCAUUACACAUACAAAUACUCUUCACUGAAGGAAAAAAAAGAUUGUUGAGAAGUUUUCCCAGGUGUUGUAAGCUGCUUUCAGUGGAAGUCCCACUGUGACAUGUACAUUAUUAUAGCACAGUUGAAAUACAGAUUAGAAAUAUUCAUAAAUCAGAUGCAAGCGUAUCUAUUUAAAUUUACUCCAAUAUGUUAAUAUUUUCAAAGUUGAAUUUUUGAUCUGCUUAUAAGUUAUUUACAGAUAGUGGCAAACAAGUGUGCGUACUUUUAUAUAUAUUUUAAUAAAUAUUGUAGAUAAGACUCUAACAAAUUUAAAACCAGUGAGAAUAGUAUGAAUUUUGUUUCCUUUUCCUUACAAAUGUUUUUGUACAAAAAAAAAUGUGUCCUAGUUGACGUGACAGUGCAUUCUGCCUGACUCCAGUGCAGCCUUUAUUUCCUGUAUCCCUUCUUAAGUGAAAACCACCAGCGGUGGUCAAGAUGGCUGCAACUAACAGAAUUGUUAGCAGCUUGGUAAUACUACUUCAGUUCAGAAAAUCGAUUUUUACUGAUGUCUUAGGGGUUCUGUUUGUACUGCAAGUAAAAAAGUAGAAAUGAGGUCAGAUAAGUCUGACCUCAUGCUAAAGACAAAGGAAAAUUACUUGAAAUACAAGUUCAGAGAAAAAAAAUGUAGCAGCCACAGGUCCUGAACUGAGUCUUUCCUUCAUCAGAAGAAAAUGUUUUCAAAAUGUGUGUUAACAUAUCAUUCGUAAGAUACUAAGAUACUGAUAGGAAAUGUGAUAUGAACUGGAUAGAAAAAGUAAAACUCAUGUAGGAUUUAGGAUUUUUAUUGAAUGGUGAAUCAGCAAAACAAUUCAGCAAACAGACUGAAAAUUAUUCUGCACCAAAGUGUAUUUCUUCUGUAAAUAAAGCAAAACAAAACAAAAAAUACUUAGUCAACAUUAAGUUCUGUAAUGACUGCUAUUUGUGAUAAAGUUGAAAAUAGAGUAACAGUAUUUUUCUUGUGGAGGACAAAAAAAGAUUGCUUAAUUUGCUAUUUAAGGUGUUAAGAACAUUAAUAGCUCUUAUUUACAUAGGCAACGGUGCUAUGACAAAUUCAUGAACUGAUAGAUUACCCGAGACAAGUAUUAUGUGACGUGAAAGAGACAGGCAGUGCCAGGGGAUUUGCACUGACAGAUUUGGAAUUUUGUGAGAUGAUUACUUAGUGUUCACCAAAAGGAGAAAACUGCUAGCUGUGAGUCAGCAGUCUUUUAUUACAUCACAUGCACACAGACAGACAAAACAUAAUUGCAUCAGCCUUUGUUUUCAAAAGAAAACCAGGCAAAAUCCAAAGGAAUUCUAGGAAUAAUAACAAGAUGGUUAGAAAAAUAAGAUGUAAAUCUGUCAUGAGUGGAAGCAGAGCUCCAGAUCAACACCAUAUAUUAUGAGGUUUUUGCAUUAGAAUCGUUCUAUAAACAGGUCCUAAUAAGAACCAUGUAAGAAACUCUGCAAAAAUGUCUUAUAUUCCAUGUUCAGAUGGAACCAAUAACCCUCUUAUAUAAAGCAAAAAGGAAUAGAAGGGCAGAGCAUAAACACGCUAAGUGAAAAAAAAAAAAAAGAAAAACAAAAAAAGCCACCCAAUAUCAUGGUACUUAGGAGGAAACAGGGAAAUAGAAGGAUAACUAGAUGACUACAGAAUAAGAUCUUCAUCUUAGAACUGCUCAGAACAACUCUUUUUAGUCUGUAAAGACAAGAAUUCCUUGGAAGGUCCAAGAGUUGUAACAAAGCACCAUACACUAGGUUAUGGAAACUGGAAACUAGAUAUACUACUGGACUACUAUCAUGGACUCUUUCCUCCCGCUCACCUCAGGAACAUUCAUAAAACAUUUUCUUGCAUUCAGACUCUUAGUGCAUGCAAAGUUUUGAAAAACUGGUCUUGUAAUACAAGGAUGGAUGCAGUUCUGAUGGGAAUACUGGCAUAGGGUUUGAGUCCUACUCCAGUGCCAGUUUACAUGAUGGGACACAUGGUGCUCAUGGAUUGCACCCAUCCAGUUUUGUCAGAAGAUCCAUAUUCCUAGAGUAUGAUAUGAACUCAACAGUAUGGCUUUAUCCAUACCAGCUCGAUUAUAUGAGCACAGGUAUGCCAAAUUAUACAAUCACCAUUAUUUUUUUUGACAGAUACAUGCCUUGAAUGUAGAUGAUAAACAAGUCCUAUUUUCCCUAUUGAUUUGGGCAAACAGCAACAGCAAUCAAAACAACAACGUAACAACAACAAAAAAGAAACCAAUAGACUCAUGAAUUUUCAGUACCUUGGUAAAUGUUUUUAUUAAUCUCUUCCCUCCUGUUCCUGUAGAAAAUGAAGGAUAUUGGUUGAAAGACAAAGAAGAGGAAGAAAUAAAAAUAAUUUUUGUAUGUGAAUGUCUGACACUAAAAGAAAGCUUGUAUUUCCUCACUUUAGAUUUGUAAACAAAGUUUCCAUGUGUGCUUCCUUCUUCACAAAAAGGAAGACAUCUAUUCUAAGUCCACGAUAAGCCCGUCGUAAAUAUUUCCAUUUCUACUACUAAGUUAAAAAUUAAUGGCAUGAAUUGCACUCACCAUAGUUAGAAUCUGAGUAGUUUUAUCAGAUCAUCAGUGAUGCUACUUGACAUACUGAAGCAAUGUGUACUGAUUUUACUUUGCCAAGAAUAUUUGAGUUACAGCAGCAGCACAGUACUGAGAGACUGUCAUUUUAGCCUGUUGUACAAUUGUAAACACAAACCACUGAGUAUAGAUUCAGUCUGCGUCAUGGCUUUAUGAUUUUUGGUUAUCAGUAUUCCACAUCACAACAUCAUGCAGUGUACUGAGAGUUAAGGAGCAAAUGCUCCUUAAGGGGUACCUGUCUGGAAGAGAAGAACUACAUUCCCCAAGAGCCUUUUCGAGUACUGUUAUCAUUCCUGCUCAAGGGAACAGAUAUAAGGGCGCAGGUCAUCUGACUUGUCCCUCUUCUCGUCUCGCCAUGUUCCCUGUUGGACCGGCUUGCUACUGCUGCGCCCGACUGCACGCAAGGCAGUAUUAGCAUAAGGCCUUUGGCUCUCGGACAAUCUUUCUCUCAAUUAUUGUUGAUUUAUAUUGUAUUAUAGUGUGUUAUCUUACAUUCCGAUACUAUAUUUAGUAAAUUAGUUUGUUUCUCCUCAGAUCAUUGCCGCUGUUUUUAAUUAUUUUGGAGUUCCCUGUUUCCCUUCCUGGAGGCUCGGAUUUUGCGAAAUCCCUCCGCCCCACUAGUCGCGGAACCGGGCCGGACCAGCCCUUAAACUGUCGACAGUCUGGCACUAAAUAUUUUGUGCAAGAUUAACAAUUCUGUCUCCCAGUGUUUGUAGGAAGUCUGUAGUCCUCUGUUCUUUGUAGAAUUAAAAACCUGACUACAGGAAGGAAAAGUAACAUAGUUAAUUCCCUCUCAAACAAAGAGCAUUCUGGGUGUUUUGUCUACCUGUUUUGUCUACCCAUUACCACUGUUGUGGCAACAUUCAGAGAAAUCCAUAUUUAGUCACGAGUUUUUUUAAAAAAUGUUGAUUAAAUUAUUAAUUACAGAUAAAUUAUUUUGAGACCUCUGCAAAACAUCAAUACACCUAACCAACCAGACAAAUUAAAAAUAUUAAUGCUUACAGGACAAAAUUUUAAAUAAAUUCAUAAAUUCUGAGAACAUGCUCUAUAAUCUCUGAAGUUGUCUGGACUGCACUGCACAGCUACAAUAAAUACUGAAUUCAUCACUGUUACUACAGUGAUAUGCCUGCUUAACUUCAGCACUUCCAGUGAGUUACUGUGAUAAAUCAGAACGUCAAAAAGCACAAGUGCAAGAUAACAUAAAUGUCCAUCUGUUGGAUGAAAUCACCCUCUGCAAAACAAGAACAGCUGCUGACUACAGAAAGUCAUUUAAAAUUUUUUUAGCACUGUGCUUAGUUGACUCCUGUUAAGCUGUACAGUGAAGCAAAGCAGAGUCUCUUAAGACUUCCAUAUGGGAUGGGAGAAGCAUAACAGAAAUUCUGAUAAAGCUGCCAUUUCUCAGAUGAAAGGAAAAGGCUUGAACAUCCUUCUCAAUGUUACUAACACUAAAACAUUAAAGGAAAGAACAAAAGUAAUAGUAAAUAAGUCCUUUAAGCAGAAAAACAACACUACACAUCAUUAUUUUGUGUCUUGAAAUGAUUAAACUACAAAAUAAAUGAGAAGAAAUUAGAAAUAUCACUAACAAAUGAUUUUUUUUUUUUUUUUUUUUUUUUUUUUUUUAGGUAUACAGUGAACAUGUAGUAACAUGGGAAACACAAAUAUUCCAAAGUUGGGGGUUGAGUAAAAGCAUAUGGUGCUAUGAAAACAAAUUCCAGGUAUCAUGAGAAUUUUCUGUUAAUAGAGCACUCCACCCGAAUCAGAUGUAUGUAAAAACAUACACAUUUUCUUUGAAAAAUUUUGGUGGUAAGCAAGACAAAUACAAUUACUUAAAUGAGUAAAAGUCUUUUGAAACACUGACUUCCACUGAAAGUUUGAGAAACUAAAGAGCAAUGUCAGAAUCAGAAGCUUGAUUGCUUUCUCAUAAUUUCAUGUGAUGCCAAUCUUUGAGUGUGGCACAAAACUAACUUUACACAUUCAAGUUUCAUAAAUAAACAGUUAUUAAUCUCCUUUAUAAUUUAGAAUUUUAAUAAUACAUACAAUAAACAAAAUAUUUUAUUUUGUAUGCAUAGUCCCAAAUUGUAAAUCAACAUAAAAACCAGUUAGCUAUUCAUGGGAUUUCUGCAAUAAACAUUCCCAUGUCAUUAUUAUGCAAUAAAAGUAGUCUACCUGAUUAUGCUUUACAUUUACACUACUUACACCUUUAAAUAAAAUCCCUUAGAGAGCCAAAAUGGGCUUAAAAUUGAAGUUGUUCAUAAAAUCUGGAUGUUUUUAAACCUUUUCUGCUGCACAUAGAUAACACACAAAAAUGUCAAGGGCUGUUAAAUAAACAGUUUUUCUCAGAGUUGUGAUCUCAGGUCCCCCUGACAACUCAAACCAAUGUAACAAAGGCAAAAUACAGAAAAAAGUCACUUCUCUGAAAGACUCCUGUUACAGAUCUAGGGAAAGAACCAUCAGUAAGUUGUAUAUAACAAAAUACACAACACUGAUCAGAUCCACAACAGGAUCACUACCAAGAACUGGCAGCACUUAUAUGGUCUCUUAAGGACAUUCGGACAUUCACAAAAAAACCUAAAAGAGCCAUUUCCAUCAGAAACAAAGUACUAAAUUCUAGAUACAUACAAGUACUGAACAAUAACUUCAGCAAAAUUUCAUGAGAUCAAAGGUAUUUUAGUCAAUAUGUAUUAAGCUCCAGUCAUUCCUUAUGAAUAUUUGGACUUGUCCUUAUCUGCACUCAGUGUUUUGCCAGAAAGAAGUGUCAUAAAAAAAUAAGUAAACUCAGAAGGCUACACAUUUAUUAGCUAAAGCAACACAUUCUCAGUGGUGCCAACAAAAACGCAGUAUUUGUGUAACCAAAGGUCAGUCUGGAUUUUGGUGGAAAAAGAAUUGCAUGGCCAGAGAUUCAUGGUAAGAGUGUCUUCAGGACUGCAAAACUGUAGGCUACAACAUUUCCUUAUCUCCAUAUUUACUGUUUAAUCUUCAAACAAGAAUAUCCUCAGGAUUUGCAUGGCCUUUCAGGGUUUGACUACAAUCUUCCAUGGACCAAAGGAAGACUUUAUUUCUCCACAUGGUGCCCAAAAUUGCUCAUAAUGGCAAAAUUCUAAAUUACUCUCAAGACAGUUUGCAAAUACUGUCCUUCAUUAAAUGUAAUGUUGAAAGCUUUACUUUAUUUUUUCUCUUUGUCUUAUAUUUCAGUUUUUCAAAUGGUUCUUCAGCUAUUUAACAAAUUUUAGUCAGUAUCUACUGUAAAUGAAAGAGAGUCCCUAUAUACCAGACACUACAGACGUAUUUGACAUGAAUUGGAAGACAGUGUAGUCUGAAUUUUAAUGCUAUGAAAGAAUACCGUACUGCUAUUAUCAAAUACUGUGGGACCACAAGUGGUAUGAUAAUUAUGGUGAGUGCCUGUUAGUCACCAUUAAUUACAUUGCUAUUUAGUUAUGUAAUUUAACCUUGAUAUGACCAGUUUCCAAGAAUAGGCAGCAGAGGAGUAAGUGACAAUUUUUAUUACAUUUUGGAUUAAGGCGUUUCUCAAAAGAGAAUUUGGCUGAGAGCUUCCCAGUCAUUUCACAUUGCUUAUCCAUUAGCCAACAAUAGUCUGCUGUAAUGUUGAACAACUUGUAAGCGUACUGUGUCCUAUACAAAGAUUUCAGUUGCAACUGUGCAGUUUAAUGGAAGUUGUACCGACCACAGCUUGACAAGGAUAUUAUUACUAUUCAGUCACAGGCUGUAAAUACAUGCCAUUCAAUCACAGAUUUUAAAAUACUAGUUCACAGUAAGAAACAUUAGAACUCUUCUAAACUCUUUGCUUUGAAAUAGGAUGUGCUGAAGAUGACUAAGCUUUUCAAAACAGGCAAUCUUAUCCAAAUUACAAUAACCUCUGAGCAAUUAGAGAGUCUUUGAUAUACCCCUGAUUUAUUCUCUAGGUAGUUGCUCCUCGCUCCUAUAUUUCAAAUUUUCUAUUAACCUAAGAUGAAGAGGUGGCAGCGAGGACAAGGCAAAAAGUCAGAGAAUCACAAAAUGAUAAAACUGUAGGAGUUGGAAAGGACCUCAAGAGAUCAUCUUGUCCAACCUCCCAGCUACAGCAAGUUCUUGAGAGUAGGUUACACAGAAAAACUGAACAGUCUCAGGUCUCUUAGCCUUUCCUCAUAAGAAAGAUUCUCCAGGCCUCUAAUCAUCUUUGUUGCCCUCCACUGGACCCUCUCUCAAAGUUCCCCAUCUUUUUUAAUAGAAGGGGAGGAUAACUUCCCUUCUGGACACGCUCUCUUUAAUGCUCUCCAGUAUACCACUGGCCUUCUUGGCAUAGCAUAACACACUGCUGGCUCUGCCAACCUGUUGUCCACCAGGACACUCAGGUCAUUCCCUGCAGUUUUUUUUCCAGUAAGUCAGCCCUUACUCUGUACCGCUGCAUGCAAUUAGACACCCCCAAGUGUAGGACUCUGCACUUGCCCUUGUUGAACCCUAUCAGGUUCCUCUCUACCCAACUCUCCAGUCUGUCCAUCUCUGGACAGGCACUCCUUCUGUCUUUGUAAUGUCAGUAAACUUGCUGAGGGUGGACUCUAACCCUUCAUCCAAGUCACUGUUUAAGAUACAGAGCAAGUGUUUGUUAGAACAGUGUAUUACAAAUCCUAAUCAUCAGGGAGGUGGGGAAGGAAAAGUGGGCAACAGAACAGAGAAAGGUAACAAAAGCAAGGAGUCCUUGUAGAAAGCAAGAGAGAUAGUACCCACCAUGGGUACCAUUGUUCGUAGUGCAGAUGUUGAUCUUCAAUAGUGAUGGGUCGUCAGUUCUUGUUGUUCGGCUGAUGACAGCAACUUUUUUUCCAACUGCAGUACAAACUUAUAAAUAAGUCCAAAAGUGGUUGAGUCAGCUCCUUUUGGAGGAACAGCUUCUGGUUUUUGGAUGUCAGCAGGAACUCCUUUUGCUCCCAUCUUCCAGGCUUUGCCAGCAGAUAAGAGGGAGCAGGGAGGCACUCACUUGUAUCUUGCCUUCACAGGAUACAAUGGUAUCAUCCCCCAGUUAUUUGAUCUGAGGCCAGAUCUACUGCCAGUGAACACUUCUGAGCACUCCCAUCUGAAGGCAAACAGCCACAAAGAAAUGCUUUCAAAUGUAAAACUGUCCACACAGUGAUGCCAACUGCCACAUGGUAACACCUACCUCUCAUCUCCUAGAUAAGUCUUAUCACAAGAAAUGUCUCAAAAGCAAGCUUUCAGCCAAAAUCAAGGUAGGGUUCAGACACUUAUAAAGAAAAUUCACAUAAUAUAACAUAGGAUGUGAAUUCCUUGUUGUUAUGAAAUGAUGUUAAAUAUGAGGAACUGAGGGCAACAAAGCUGUAGAUUGAUUGUUAUGCUGAAA
rnacentral:lncRNA from 1 species